UUUUAAUCUUGACUUGAUUAGAUAAAGAUCUGGUACAUGAAGUCAAACAGCAUUAUACUGUAUCAGUCACAAUUCUGCUGUUGUAUUAUUUAUAUUUUGGUUGUACCAGAAGUAAAACCUAUAGUCACAGUCCACCACUCAUGCCACGCUGUGCGUCCCCGCGUGUGGACUUCCUGUUUUAUUUUGAAAUCCGAUCCCAUUUGUCCGUCGUCAGUUCCACUUCUGCUCUUUGUUCGUCUCCUGUGUCCUGUCAGUCAAUCAGUCCCCGUGUGUUUGUACCUCUGUUUCCACCUGGCGCUGUUUUGUCUUUCACUGCGAGUUCCUGCGUCUCUCUGGUUUGACUUCCUGCGGACUCUUGAUUCCUGCGGGCGGCUUCUCUGGAUUUGUUUGGCUGCUAGUUGGACUUCUGGAUCUGACCUGGGCCUUCCUCAAACCCACAACAGACCUCUUGCAGUUUUAUCCCCCUGGAAGAAAAUGGAUACAGCCAAUCACACGCGAGCGUUCUCUGUCACCAUGGAAGUGAUGGGAAAAAAACUCCAUGACACACUCGGCAUUCCAUAGGUGAGUCUGCAGCCGUGUCCCAACUCA
rnacentral:lncRNA from 1 species